UAGUCAGAAAUUUCUGAUUUAUCUGCUCACUGGAAUAUUCUUAAAAGCUUAUAAGGUAGCGUAUAAUAAGCGUAGUAAUUCUACGUCGGAUGAAGAUAUAACCCCCUUAUCCUUUCUUAGGAGAAAAUUUUGAACUUUAUUUUAGAGUGAAAAACCUCUAAUACCCUUAAAAGACGAUAAGACCCUAGGAUCUUUAUAUUUUUAAUUGGGUCAAUAGUCAAAAAUAAUAGUGACUUCUUAGCCUCUUAAUGAACCAAAUUCCUGUUGCAAGACAAAGAUACCCUAGGGAUAACAGCACUAACUUCCUCUAAAGCCCCUAUUGAAAGAAAAGUAGUGACCUCGAUGUUGAAUUAAGAUUGGAGAGGCCGAAGCCGGCUUUCUUCCUGGGUCUGUUCGACCCUUUCAUCUUACGUGAUCUGAGUUCAGACCGG
rnacentral:rRNA from 1 species